rnacentral:lncRNA from 1 species
AGAGACAGGAUUCUCCAUGAGGUCCUGAACUCUUGGGCUCAAGCAAUCCACCUGCCUCAGCUUCCCAAAGUGCUGAAAUUACAGGUUCCAACACCACAAGCAUACGCUUAUUAAGGAGCCUUUAUUAGACAGCGUAUUCUCACCUAACAGGCCAGAUCAUGGCAAAAAGCAAGACAAGCAACCCCAGACAAAGAAUAUUGCCAAUGCCAGUGCUGACUCAAAGAACACGCAACAGAUGAAUGGUUUCGUGACUGGUGCAGCUACUUCCUUCAUCCCCAAGGACAGAACGGCCUCUUCCCUGUGUGGCUGCACUGGAAGGAGAAGACAAUCUGUUGCUAAAUACCUCAGAAUAAGGCCACACAUUAAUGUUCCCUCUUUCACAUACUACAAAUAAUUCAGAGACUUUUCCUAUUUUCUUGUUUCAGAUACAACUAGAGACAAACAAAAACACAGAGGAAAUGCUGCUGGAUACUAUUAAAGUGAGCAUCGUAAACAUUAUUUCAAGAGGUUUCCGAAAAGGAUCUCUAAAAUUAUCAGAGAAUUCACAAUUCAAGAGUACCUAACGAAGAAGAAGGGAAAUUAAUCCUUCAUAUGGCUCAAGUGAAGACCAGUGGAAUUCACCUUUGCAUUUGGAAGUAGUAUUUCUCCGGUCUUGCUGAAUUAAAAUAAAAAGGAUGAAUGUUUCUUUUAGAGCCAGUUCCUGACAAUGGUUUUUCAAAUGAUGUAUCUUAUUCUAUAUACGAA